rnacentral:rRNA from 1 species
UGGGGGAUAUUGCACAAUGGGCGAAAGCCUGAUGCAGCGACGCCGCGUGGGGGAUGAAGGCUUUCGGGUUGUAAACCUCUUUCGCUAUCGAACAAGGCCCGCUUAGGGUGGGUUGAGGGUAGGUGGAGAAGAAGCGCCGGCUAACUACGUGCCAGCAGCCGCGGUAAUACGUAGGGCGCGAGCGUUGUCCGGAAUUAUUGGGCGUAAAGGGCUUGUAGGCGGCUUGUUGCGCCUGCUGUGAAAACGCGGGGCUUAACUUCGCGCGUGGAGUGGGUACGGGCAGGCUUGAGUGUGGUAGGGGUGACUGGAAUUCCAGGUGUAGCGGUGGAAUGCGCAGAUAUCUGGAGGAACACCGAUGGCUAAGGCAGGUCACUGGGCCAUUACUGACGCUGAGUAGCGAAAGCAUGGGUAGCGAGCAGG